rnacentral:rRNA from 1 species
GUGCCAGCAGCCGCGGUAAUACGUAGGGGGCGAGCGUUGUCCGGAAUUACUGGGCGUAAAGGGUGCGUAGGUGGCCUUUUAAGUUGGAUGUGAAAUACCCGGGCUUAACCUGGGGGGUGCAUCUAAUACUGGAAGGCUAGAGUGCAGGAGAGGAAAGCGGAAUUCCUAGUGUAGCGGUGAAAUGCGUAGAUAUUAGGAGGAACACCAGUGGCGAAGGCGGCUUUCUGGACUGUAACUGACACUGAGGCAC